rnacentral:rRNA from 1 species
CGGGGUGAGUAAUGUCUGGGAAACUGCCUGAUGGAGGGGGAUAACUACUGGAAACGGUAGCUAAUACCGCAUAACGUCGCAAGACCAAAGAGGGGACCUUCGGGCCUCUUGCCAUCGGAUGUGCCCAGAUGGGAUUAGCUAGUAGGUGGGGUAAUGGCUCACCUAGGCGACGAUCCCUAGCUGGUCUGAGAGGAUGACCAGCCACACUGGAACUGAGACACGGUCCAG